rnacentral:rRNA from 1 species
GACUCCUACGGGAGGCAGCAGUGGGGAAUAUUGCACAAUGGGGGAAACCCUGAUGCAGCCAUGCCGCGUGUGUGAAGAAGGCCUUCGGGUUGUAAAGCACUUUCAGUAGGGAGAAGGUAGUGUAGUUAACACCUGCACUAUUUGACGUUACCUACAGAAGAAGCACCGGCUAACUCCGUGCCAGCAGCCGCGGUAAUACGGAGGGUGCGAGCGUUAAUCGGAAUUACUGGGCGUAAAGCGCAUGCAGGCGGCCUGUUAAGUCAGAUGUGAAAGCCCGGGGCUUAACCUCGGAAUUGCAUUUGAAACUGGCAGGCUAGAGUCUUGUAGAGGGGGUAGAAUUUCAGGUGUAGCGGUGAAAUGCGUAGAGAUCUGAAGGAAUACCAGUGGCGAAGGCGGCCCCCUGGACAAAGACUGACGCUCAGAUGCGAAAGCGUGGGGAGCAAACAGGAUUAGAUACCCUGGUAG